GGGGCACCUAAAUCAGUCAUACUGAUUUUCUUAAAGACAUGGGUCAACUUGAAUCACUUAAUGAUCUAAUUAAUAUAAUUCACCUUGUUGGCUAGGUAAAUGAGAUCGGUGGGAGGGAUAUGCCAUUAACUCACCAUAGACUCAAUCUAGGUGAAUAGCUCUUAAUUAAUGACUACCGAUCAAGACUGCCAAACUUACCUUAGAUACUAACUGGUUAAUUAAUUUUGAUUUGAUCAGUCUAAUAACUCGGGCUCGACUACUGAGCC
rnacentral:lncRNA from 1 species